GACGAAGGGGGCUAGCGUUGUUCGGAAUUACUGGGCGUAAAGCGAGUGUAGGUGGUUGUCGUAGUCAGGCGUGAAAGCCUUGAGCUCAACUCAAGAAAUGCGCUUGAUACUGGGCAGCUAGAGGACCGGAGAGGAUAGUGGAAUUCCCAGUGUAGUGGUGAAAUACGUAGAGAUUGGGAAGAACACCAGUGGCGAAGGCGGCUAUCUGGACGGUUUCUGACGCUGAGGCUCGAAAGCGUGGGGAGCAAACAGG
rnacentral:rRNA from 1 species